CCGGAAGAGGUCGCUACUGACCCAGAAGAAGAACCCGCACUGCCCCGUCCUUUUCUGGAAUGUGGGUAGUUACAGCCAAUUGAAAGAAAAAAAAAAAAAGAAGAAGAAGAAGAAGAAAACUUCAACAAGCCUUAAGGUUUCGGUUCUUCAAACUGAGUUCAAGUGUGGAAGCCUGCUGGGGGAGGGGUGCAGCUGAAAUGAGACUCCCAGAGACGGAGACAGCCCAGCAGGGAGAGCUUUUCUCAGGCGCAGAUGGCCACUGUGGGGGAGAGGAGACUGCCCUGGACCUCUUCCACCUGUGCCUGCGAAAGGAAGUCAACUUCCUGGUCAGCCUUCAACAUCGGAAUACACUGACCGCCGGGAUGUCACGGCGCCCACCUCUCAUCCCAGCACCCCAGAGGCUGAGCUAAAAACAAAAGGAAGGGGUUGCAGAGAUUUGCUUCUCAGGAAAGAGCAUGUUCUGCUCUUACGGAGGGCCCCUGUUCAGUUCCCAGCACUCAUCAGGGAGCCUUCAACAGCCUGAAGCUCUAGCUCCAGGGGAUAUGACGCCCUCUUCUGGACUUCACACACACAUCCACUUGAUUAAAAAUAAAAUAGGCUGUAAAAUAUUUGCAUACAUACACAAACACAUGCACAGAGACCCUCCAUUUGGCCUAUAAAAUAAUUCAGGUUCCUUAGUAGAAGAAUGAAAAAAAUAAGGACAAAGUAAAAAAAAAAAAAGAAACACCCAUAGUCCUACUAUUUAGAACAAAAAUCCCUCACUGUUUCGAUGAUGCUCUUCCACUCCUCAUGAAUAUACAUGACAUGGACAUGAAUAUGCAUAUGCGUAUGGGCUCGUGCUGUGCUUAACAGGGUGAGGCAUUUUCUCCUGUUGACAUAGUCAUUCCUUGUCUGGUCAUAUGUCAUAUUUGCAUGAUUCUUCUUUUCUGUGUUGGGAGGUUUUUGUUUUUGAGAUGGGCCCUAUGGAGACUACACUAACCUGGAAUUUGCUAUGUGGCUGAGGCUAGCCUGGAAUUUACAAUCCUCUUGCUCCCACCUCCUGAGUGCUGGGAUGACAGGCGUGGGCCGCUGUGUUCAACUUAGGUUUUCUGUUUCUCAACCACUGGAGUUAGAAAAACGUCACAAAUGUAUGCCUGUGUUUUAUGUGUGU